rnacentral:rRNA from 1 species
GACGAACGCUGGCGGCGUGCCUAAUACAUGCAAGUAGAACGCACAGUUUAUACCGUAGCUUGCUACACCAUAGACUGUGAGUUGCGAACGGGUGAGUAACGCGUAGGUAACCUGCCUGGUAGCGGGGGAUAACUAUUGGACACGAUAGCUAAUACCGCAUAAUAUUGAUUAUUGCAUGAUUAUUGAUUGAAAGAUGCUAUUGCAUCACUACCAUAUGGACCUGCGUUGUAUUAGCUAGUAGGUGAGGUAACGGCUCACCUAGGGGACGAUACAUAUCCAAACUGCGAGGGUGAUUGGCCACACAGGGACUGAGACACAGCCCAGACUCUUACGGGAGGCAGCAGUAGGGAAAAUUAGAAAAUGGAAGAAAGUCUGACCAGGAAACGCCGCGUGAGUGAAGAAGGUGUACGGAUAAUAAAACUCUGUUGUAAGAGAAGAACGGGUGUGAGGGUGGAAAGAUCACUAUGUGAAGGUAUCUUACCAAAAAGGUACGGCUAACUAAGUG